GAAAAACAUUGCAGACCUCAUGACGCAGGCUGGGGUGGAAGAACUGGAAGGUGAAAACAAGAUACCUGCUACACAAAAGAGUUGAAGGUUGCUAAUUUACACUGAAAUCUGGAACAUUGUUUUUACAAGCCAA